rnacentral:rRNA from 1 species
UGAGGGAUAUUGGUCAAUGGGCGCAAGCCUGAACCAGCGACGCCGCGUGGGUGAAGAAGGUCUUCGGAUCGUAAAGCCCUUUUCCCACUGAAGAGGAAGGACGGUAGGUGGGGAAGAAGUCUCGGCUAACUACGUGCCAGCAGCCGCGGUAAAACGUAGGAGACAAGCGUUAUCCGGAGUUACUGGGCGUAAAGGGCGUGCAGGUGGCGUCUUAAGCCUGUUGUGAAAGCGCCUGGCUUAACCGGGCGAGGCCAAUGGAGACUGAGAGGCUGGAGGACGGCGGAGGGGUGUGGAAUUCCGGGUGUAGUGGUGAAAUGCGUAGAGAUCCGGAGGAACACCAGAGGCGAAGGCGGCACUCUAAGCCGUACCUGACACUGAGACGCGACAGCACGGGGAGCAAACG